CGGCUCACCUCCGGCAGCUCACGGGACUCCCCCCCUCCCGGGACUCCCCCCUCACCUGCCCACCUCCUCCCGGAACCGAGUCCUGGCCCGGCUGCCCCACUCCCAGCGAGGGCAGGCUGGCCUCACCGGUGACCGUGCCCAGCCCUACCGACGCCGACGGCGGCCGAGAGCUCCAGGUCCACUUUGCAACUUGGGAACGCAAACAGACUCGUCUUUCAGCCUGGCUGGGAACGCAAGAGCGAUUCUAGAUGGAAAUGGGACGAAAGUAGAGAAAACUUAAAUCUCGGACACUAUCCAUCAGUUCUGAGGCAAAAAUAAACACUCACGACUCACACCUCAGAAAGAGAGAGAAAAAAGGGAGAGAGACACCGGCUGUACCCCUUCUAGGAAGAAUAAACAUGACAGUUAUAACCGGAUUAGAGACGGAAAAGUAAGGAAAGGACUGAUUAGCAGACAAUAGCCUCACCGCAAAUUUAAAACCAACGCUGCACGCCUAGGGUGGA